rnacentral:rRNA from 1 species
CACGUAGGGGGCAAGCGUUGUCCGGAAUCAUUGGGCGUAAAGAGCUCGUAGGCGGCUCAGUAAGUCGGGUGUGAAACCCCCAGGCUCAACCUGGGGACGCCACCCGAUACUGCUGUGGCUAGAGUCCAGUAGGGGAGUGUGGAAUUCCCGGUGUAGCGGUGAAAUGCGCAGAUAUCGGGAGGAACACCAGCGGCGAAGGCGGCACUCUGGGCUGGAACUGACGCUGAGGAGCGAAAGCGUGGGUAGCAAACAGG